rnacentral:rRNA from 1 species
UACGGGGGGGGCAAGCGUUGUUCGGAAUUACUGGGCGUAAAGGGCGUGUAGGCGGCCAACUAAGUCCGACGUGAAAUCCCCAGGCUUAACCUGGGAACUGCGUCGGAUACUGGAUGGCUUGAAUCCGGGAGAGGGAUGCGGAAUUCCAGGUGUAGCGGUGAAAUGCGUGGAUAUCUGGAGGAACACCGGUGGCGAAGGCGGCAUCCUGGACCGGCAUUGACGCUAAAGCGCGAAAGCCAGGGGAGCAAACGGG